rnacentral:rRNA from 1 species
AUGGCGGGUCUUGACUUUGUUAGGCUGGGAUUGGAUGGUUGCGGAGGGUGGUGUGCUUGGUUGGGUUCCCAUGGAAGAAUGUGGCCUCCUCGUGGAUCUGGUCAUGCCCAUCCUAGAGAACAUUGUAGUGAAGGAGGAAUUAAAAUCCAAAAGUGGGAAAGGAGCCGAAGCAAAUGGAACGAAUUGACUGACGCCAUGAAGCAAGGACGAGGAGAUCACCAAACAUGGUAUUCUGCAUUUUAUAUUCUUUCUAUCCCACAUGGAACAAUAAGUACAGAUUUGAUUAGUUUCUUGAUGGAAUAUUGCGACCUGUUAGACAAAGCAGAUGAAUGUGAGGAUCCACACAUGUGUAUGGUAUAUGCUUCUACAUGGGCCUUGUCAGCCUACUUAGCCUACCACCGUACGGGGAAGCCUUUCAAUUCCAUCCUUGAAGAGACGUAUGAGAUGGUUAAACACCAGGGUAUUACAUUUAUCGCUGUGCAGCCACAUCCUCCGAUGGGUGUAGCUCACUGUGAGAACGAUCCAUUUACUUACGACAUCACAUCAAAGUUGAAGACAAAGUUCUUGGAAAACUAUGUGGCAGUGUAUCUUGGAAGGACUAGAGUGACACUUGCCAAACCGGGUGUCGUGCUAGAACUGGUACCACCGCUGGCCAAGAUCAACAACUUGAUAUUUGGGUGCACAUGGGUAGACUCCUUUGGAGAGAUGGUCUUGAUAAAUCCGACAACUAGAGACAAAGCUGUGCUGUAUUUCCAGCCAUGCAGCUGGUUUAGAUAUCUAAUAGUACACAUCUUCGCAGGUACCAUGAUAAUCAUUCAUCCGAGAUCUUCUUAUAAAGCAAUUCAGUUUUGGAACUUAGAUUUAGCAAUUACUCCCUCUUACUCCCGUUGUCUGGUUACUUGCAGCUUUGGCGACCGCUUAGCCGCCCCCAGGACCGGGAUGCCAUCUCUGCCUCCAUCGCCGACCUCCGCUCUAUGGCUGUUCGUUUGUCGCCGCCGCCUCCUCUGCCACCCCCCGAGCCGGAUAGGGGCUGGGCACGUUCUCCGGCCUCCCCCGGCCGUUCUUUUUCUUUUGUUUGGGCUUGUUGAGCUGUGCCCUCAGCAGAACUUAUUGUACUUCUUGUCGUGA